CCCGUUUCGGGGUAGGGAUAGCCAUGGGAUUCUUACACUCCCGGGUAAGGGAGUGUGGCGGACGGCUGAGUAACACGUGGCUAACCUACCCUCGGGACGGGGAUAACCCCGGGAAACUGGGGAUAAUCCCCGAUAGGGAAGGAGUCCUGGAAUGGUUCCUUCCCUAAAGGGCUAUAGGCUAUUUCCCGUUUGUAGCCGCCCGAGGAUGGGGCUACGGCCCAUCAGGCUGUCGGUGGGGUAAAGGCCCACCGAACCUAUAACGGGUAGGGGCCGUGGAUGCGGGAGCCUCCAGUUGGGCACCGAGACAAGGGCCCAGGCCCUACGGGGCGCACCAGGCGCGAAACGUCCCCAAUGCGCGAAAGCGUGAGGGCGCUACCCCGAGUGCCUCCGCAAGGAGGCUUUUCCCCGCUCUAAAAAGGCGGGGAAUAAGCGGGGGGCAAGUCUGGUGUCAGCCGCCGCGGUAAUACCAGCUCCGCGAGUGGUCGGGGUGAUUACUGGGCCUAAAGCGCCUGUAGCCGGCCCACCAAGUCGCCCCUUAAAGUCCCCGGCUCAACCGGGGAACUGGGGGCGAUACCGGUGGGCUAGGGGCGGGAGAGGCGGGGGGUACUCCCGGAGUAGGGGCGAAAUCCUUAGAUACCGGGAGGACCACCAGUGGCGGGAAGCGCCCGCUAAAACGCGCCCGACGUGAGAGGCGAAAGCCGGGGCAGCAAACGGGAUUAAAUACCCGGUACUCCGGCUGUAAACGA
rnacentral:rRNA from 1 species